CGUCGUGAGACAGUUCGGUCCCUAUCUGCCGUGGGCGCUGGAGAAUUGAGGGGGGCUGCUCCUAGUACGAGAGGACCGGAGUGGACGCAUCACUGGUGUUCGGGUUGUCAUGCCAAUGGCACUGCCCGGUAGCUAAAUGCGGAAGAGAUAAGUGCUGAAAGCAUCUAAGCACGAAACUUGCCCCGAGAUGAGUUCUCCCUGACUCCUUGAGAGUCCUGAAGGAACGUUGAAGACGACGACGUUGAUAGGCCGGGUGUGUAAGCGCAGCGAUGCGUUGAGCUAACCGGUACUAAUGAACCGUGAGGCUUAACCUUACAACGCCGAAG
rnacentral:rRNA from 1 species